UACAGAGGGUGCGAGCGUUAAUCGGAAUUACUGGGCGUAAAGCGUGCGUAGACGGUUACGUAAGUCGGAUGUGAAAUCCCCGGGCUCAACCUGGGAAUUGCAUUCGAGACUGUGUAGCUGGGGUGCGGAAGAGGGAAGCGGAAUUCCCGGUGUAGCGGUGAAAUGCGUAGAGAUCGGGAGGAACACCAGAGGCGAAGGCGGCUUCCUGGUCUGCGACUGACGCUGUGGCGCGAAAGCUAGGGGAGCAAACGGG
rnacentral:rRNA from 1 species